rnacentral:rRNA from 1 species
UACGGGGGGGGCAAGCGUUGUUCGGAAUCACUGGGCUUAAAGGGCGCGUAGGCGGGUUCGCAAGUCUGUGGUGAAAGCCUCCAGCUUAACUGGAGAAGUGCCAUGGAUACUGCGCAUCUUGAGGAGGGUAGGGGCGUCUGGAACGGUCGGUGGAGCGGUGAAAUGCGUUGAUAUCGACCGGAACUCCGGUGGCGAAGGCGAGGCGCUGGACCCUUUCUGACGCUGAGGCGCGAAAGCCAGGGGAGCAAACGGG